ensembl:lncRNA
CACACCAACAGGAUCAAUUGAGCAAAUGGGGUGCACACGCAGAAAAAUACAAGUUGGCUUUUCUGAGUGUCUUAUUUGUUGACACUCAUCAAUAUGCCAUUGCCAGUAGCAGCAGGAUGAACUGCAGAUAUUUUAGAUGGGUGCGAUGCAAGACGUAAAAAAAUAUGUGCAUGAUAGCUGUGGGUCCAUACCAGCCUCUCAAUUCGUAUUAUUUCUGUAAAAGCCAAUUUAUGCUUGAUCUGAAAAGGGGAUCGGAGGCUUCGUAUGGAGGGUGUGAUGCAAUUGCGGAGCAUGUAGAGACCAAAGCCUUUAAGUCUGCUCUAUAUUUCUGUUUACUUUAUGCGUUGCUGACUCUACCUUUUAAGCCAGCCAUCCUAUUUAUUCUAUUGAUCUUCAGUCUACAGCACUUGUUUGGGGCAGGCCCGGUGGUGUGUGUGUCUGUGUCCGAGGACAGUCCUGAUUUGCCAAGUCAAUGUGUCAGAGGUCAAGGAAAGGACCCACCCUCCCUUCCCUCCAUCAUCCUCUUUGCACCAUCUCUGUUGUCCUCCUGGUGUUCAUGUGGAGGGGUCAUCCCUCCCCGAUCGGCCAUUCAGUGCUCAAACGCACUUCCCCUUACCCCUCUGAAAAUCACACAAACACACAUACUCUCACACACAGAGCGGAGUCUAUUAGGUCACACUCUAAGCCCCACCUCCCCUUACUCUGCUCCCUUAAGACAGAGGCCUGGACAUGAAGGAAUCUGAACUGAAUGGCUGAAGGAGGGGGCUGGAGAUGGCCUGUUAAAGAUGCCCUGGGGUGGAAAAAAGAGGCGGGUCCCGGGGCUCAACUCUUCUCAUCCUGACUGAGUGACAGAUACCUCAGGCCUGCCCCUUGGACCCAAGGACUGUAUCAAUAUUGUUCCUUUCUCAUUUUGUUUGGUGGAAGAAAGAAAAAAGACUGGAAGAGAGAAAGCUGACGUGUACAUUACUUUACUGCAUGGAUGAAUGAUGGGACAACCGUGUGCUAGUGACCUAUUUGUUUUUCUAACUUUUACUUUUUAUUUGGGACUUUUAAUUUAGCUUUCUUUGUUACAUUGUACUAAGAAUUGUAGUUUCUCUUUCCAAACCCCUCUCAAAUUAACCCUCUCAUAUCCCUAGUUCUCUACCUUGCGUCCCUCUUUCACUUUCUCUCCCUGUCUUGUUCUGUCCUCUUGCUGUCUGCCUGUCUAGGUUCUGAAUGAUCCCUAACUGAGCGGAAAUUAGUUGUAAACAGCAUUGUCUCGUCUAAAAUGGUGUUGUAUAUUGAAAUGAUUUUUUUAAUGAAAGAAAAACCAUUAAUACAAAUAAAGUACUUGACUGUGAAGGAGUGUAAACCAGCGUGUAUGAGCAGUGUUUGUUCAAUAUCAUGUAACUAUGCCAUCAGUACUGUAUGUACAGACCAAACCACUACUCUGACGCGGACCGAGUUUGGGAAACACUGGUGUAGUGUAUCAAGGGGAUAAUCAUGGGUUAGUCUGCAGACAGGGAAUUCUGGAGCACAAAAAGGGUGAUCAGGAAUGCAGCAAUGCACUGGAACCCACAUUCCUCUACACAUCCAGCCCAUUCUCUGCCUUGCACACAUUGAGGUGGUUCAAUUAAUCUCACCUGGGUGUGUUUUCUCAC